rnacentral:misc_RNA from 1 species
GGGAACCGUGUGGUGUCAGAAUCUGCUGAGAAGAUUAACUAGAAAGCAAAUAGUUUAGAUCAACUGAAUAAAUUUGUUUGUAUUUGGCAAUAGCUUAUGGUUUUUUUUCCUGGAACAGUUUUGUUUGAGACCUGGAUAGUCCUAAACCUCUUCUUAGAGGUGGUUGGGACCAUAGGUGCUCUUUAGGUUGUAAAUUUGAAGUUUUCAUGUUGGAGUAAUGGUAGUAGUUCACAGUUAUUACCCAAAAAAG